UGGCAGUGGCCCUGGGGAUGCGGAGUUGCUGAGGUGCCAUGCCAGCAGUAGUCACUGAGAAACUGCCCUCUUGAGUGUCAGAGGGACGUCACUAAUGGAGAGAUGCCCACACAAGUCCCACUUGGAAUUUGUUACCGGAAAUGGCACAUUGGGAAACCUCCCUCUUGGUGUCAGGGAAUGUCCUGCACCACCAGCUGCCACACACUGCAGGAGCCUACUGAGAGCGAGCACAGGCUGGCCCAGGAUGAUGAACCCAUUCCUCUGCUAGGUUCCCGCCACACCACCAGCUGCCACACACUGCAGGAGCCUACUGAGAGUGAGCACAGGCUGGACCCAAGAGGAAGAACCCAUUCCUCUCCUAGGUUCCCACGAGUGCCUUCUGCCAACGAAGCUUAAUGGCAUGCCAACUGUCCAAGGAGAAAGGAUGAGAAGCCACAAGCAGGACAAUACAGGUUUCCUUGGAGCCAAGAGGCAAUAGAUUGGAAGAAAGAGAAGAGAAUGCCUGAUCUCACUUUUUACUUUCAAUAUAGAACAAAUCUACAUAGGAAGUUGUGGAAGCAGCGACGAGUGUGGUUUGAGGGUCUUCCUGCAAAGAACAGUAUCAUAGGACCAUGGAGGGAGAAGAACUGUGCCCUAGGAAUGGUACUUCACACAUCAUACCCAGAAGGCUAAACUGUUGCUAUAACAGGAGACUUGGGAAAGUGAAGGACAUGAACUAGAAAUCUCUGGAAUUAUCUUUGCAGAAAGUUUCCUGUUGAUAAAUGGUGGUGUUCUCAGAUUAUGAUUGAGAUGAACGCUGUUGUAAUCCCAAAAGCGCUGUGACAAUUCGGUGAAAUAGACAAAACGACGCUGUGCUCACAAUUACUAUCUCAUAUGGUUUCAGCAUUGCCUCCGUGUGUGUGUGUGUGUGUGUGUGUGUGUGUGUGUGUGUCUUUCUGCUUGUCUUAUUGCUGCUUAUUACACCUUCCCUCCCUUGGGGUCUCCAGCAUGCAUAACACAUGCACUGGUACCAGUUGUCAAAAAAGAGUUAAGGGCUGUUUCCAAAAUACCGCAGACAAUAUCUUAUGGAUCGUCCCAUACACUUUUAUUCAAAGAAAAUGAGCUCCACAUUUUUUAUGUUCAAAGUCCAGAUUCAUUCCUGGAUAGAAGCCCCAAAAUGAUGAAUCCUGAAAUAGAAAUACUUCUGAAAGUCAGUUCUGAUUUAUUGGUUUUGAACCCAACCCUUGCAAAAGGCCUUAAAACUGCAGCUGCUGCUCUUGUCCUCUCAACAGUUAGAGCUGCCUGCUCACUGGUAUUCUUACAGUAUUUCUCAAAGAAGUGGAGCACAAACAUGCUAAUCCUCAGGACACCCAAGCCUAAACCACAGAGAGCCCAUCCUCCUUUCCACCUGACAGGAAUGAGGAUUGUUACAUCGCUGCUACGGUCCUUGCUCCAAGCACUGUUGGUCUGCCUCAUUAACGGUUCUGCUUCUGUGUAACCAGAGGAGGCAAAUAGCUACUUGUUCUGAUUCCAAGUAUCAGAAAUGGCUCCUCGUGAUGUAAGAUUCUUUUCUCGCUUUUUCAUUAAUGCCUGAAAUUCAACAGGUAAAGUUAAGCCUUUCAACCCAAAAUUAGCCAUGAAGUUUUGGGCAAACAAAUGCAAAAUUAAAACUCAUAUCCCUGCCCGAUUACAAACCACUUCUACAAGUGUGAUUUCAUGUAUCCCUCCCAAUCGCCCCAUGUGGCAGGCAGAGAAAAUACUUUUGUUCCUAUUGUAUCAAUAUGGGAGCUGAGGCUAAGGAGAGGUUUAAUAGAAAUAAUGUGAGGCUUAGGGCCUUGUAACACAAGUUUCACAAUUCUAAAUCCCAUGUUCUUUCCAAUUAUUAAUUCACUAUCUGAAUAUAUACAUGGAGUAGAAUGUUUUAACACACACACAGGAUAAAAUUGAUUUCAGAUCCUCUGAAGUUAAGUUUUGACAAGAUGGAAGGUAAAAUUAAAAUACCAUUCACCACUGGGAGGAAAAAGUAGAUAAAAGAGGUCCUAUAUUUCAGUAAAUUAGAGGGGAAAAAAAAGUCAGGGGAAAAAAGGAAGUCAAAUUAAAAACUAGGGUAAAAAUAAGUCACCUUUGUAAUUUUUCUGACAUAGUAGAAAGAGCACACACCUCUAAGAUUGACAAAGCUAGGUUUAAAUUCCAGGCUGAUAUCCUACUACUUCUGAGAUCUUAGGAGAGUUCCAGAAGCCUCCUUUGUAAAGUGCAGAUAAUAAUAUAUGCAUCUUAAGAGUAUUAAAUGAGAAAAUAAAUAUAAUAUUUAACACGGUAACACCAUUAUGCUAACCAGCCCUAGAAGUGGCAGUAAAAGCAACAGUGGAAGUAAUAGUAAUGAUAACAGUAGAACUAAAUGAUAUUUUCAAAUGGCUGUGAGAUGUUCAACACUGUCUACUAUUUUCUAAUACUGUUUUAUUCUAAAUAUGCCAUUGGAUAUUUGCCAUUUGGUGACUACUGGUUCAGACCCUACUUUCUUUCUCUUCACUCAUUAUUUAUCCUCAAACUCCCUCUCUCUUCCUAAAGACUCAUAUAUUCGAUUAAUGUUAAUAAAUAUAUUGAUGUUUCCUUAGCUCUUCAGGAGUACAUUUUUAUGGAAUGUAAAAAAAUAAUAACUCAACUUUUUGUUUUCAUAGAAACAGUACCCAGCUCAAAUGUCUGUGAAAAGUUGAUGCUUUCUUAAAGAAGAAGUGGGACUCCCCUUGUCAGUUUGUGAGGCUAUCCAUAAUGAAACCAAGAAAGGGUUGUGUUGUGAGGUGUCUUGCUUUUAAUUGGAAAACGCUGAAAUGAGGGCCAAUGCAGGAAAGUGUAAAGAAGCCCAUUGAUUUCACUUGUAAGCACAUUGGAGGAGAACAGACAAUUGAAGGACUCCAGGUGCAAGGUCUGAAGAAUUCAAGAGCAGUCCUGGGAGCGGAAAGUCAAUGUCCUGCCACUUGAUUUAUUUAGUCACUGAAAUGUACCCAGCAAGUUGUGGUGUCGGGUACUGUCUUAGGGGUUUAAAAUCCAAAGACAUGAAGACAUCUCUUUGAGGCUUACUGGUUACAGCUCUGGAAACGUUAGGGAAGCAAUCAGUUAAAUCAGAAACUUAAUUUCUUGCAAGAAAGGAGCCAAAUAGCCCCAUGGAUUUGAUAAAUCAAUCUACUGCAAAAAGGCGUAAAGUGUAAACUGAAGUUGAUCACUAGAGAGAUUACAAAUCAUUACUGGCCCUUGGGCAUUCACAAGAAGCCAGGUACUUGAGGCCCUGGUAUGAGGUAUGAGGGGCCCGAGUUUGCAUCUAUUUUCAUAUCCUGAAGACUGUCUCUUAGAGAUUGUAUCCCUAGUGCUAAUCAAAAGGAGAUCACAUUUCUAGAUUCACAGUUAUUUCCAGCAUUGGUCAAAAUGCCAAUGAGUGCUAGUGACUAUACCUUUCAGGACAGCUAGGGAACAUACGUUGAGCAGAACAGAGAAAACAGAAAGUACGACAGAGGACAGGUAAAGAGUGGAGAGGUAAGAAAACAUGCCUUGCCAUGUCAAAUGAUCACAAGGAGCAUUAAUUAUCUGCAAGAAGUCAAGAGUAAUUUAGUCCUGGCACUACCAACAUGGUCCUUCCUACUGCCACUCCUUCUAGAAUAGGGGCUUUGCUCCCACUAAUCCUGAAAUAAGAUAAAGCUGGGUUUGAAUCCCAGCUUUUCCAACCACUAACUAUGUGUUUUAAAGCUUUAAUUUCAUCACAAGUGAGUUGGAGAACACAGUAAUCACUUCAAAUUAGUUAAAUUUUAUAACCUACAUAAAAUUUGAAGCACUGGUAGGAAAGAAUUGCCAGAUAAAUAGUGGUUGGAAAAAACAAAACAAAACUCUAUUUGCUAAAUGAUUGCAGGUAUGUGGUUCUAGCAGAUUCAAGACUAUGUUUUAUAGCAAAGUUGACAAAAUAUAUAGUGAGAUGAAGACAUAUUUCCAUUUAAGUCAUUGCUGGGCACUUCUGCCUCUGGUCUGUACAUUUACAAUAUUGCGACAUCUUCCAGUGUAAAUGAAUGUUUCUUUAGAAGAUGUGAGUACAUAAAAAACAUAAAUAGCUUCUAAAUUCAUUAAGAAUAAAUCACUUUUCUCUUAAAACAUAUCGUUCAGAUCUGAGAUAAAAUUGUUUGCCAAGUAUCUUGCCAUGUUUUGGCCAGCCGCACAAAUGUUCUCUGCUAUUCUCUGCUAAAUAGGGUAGCAUUUCCCCUCCCUUUCUUCUAGGACACGUGACCACAUCAUGCUCAAGCAUGUAGAAUUCCCUCUGAGCCUCAUUGAAUCACCGAAGGCCAAUCAACCUUAACACCAAUAGAGUACAGCACAAACCUCUGUAGAACAAUACGUCCCAGCUGCAAAGACUAUAAGCUCCAUGGAACAGAUAUCAAGCCUCGAGGCCAUAACACAAGGUGCAUGAAGGGACUCCUGACCAGGAAGAGCAAUGACCAGAACAGGAAGAUUCCUGGGUAGUGCCAUGUCUACUUGGAUCCAAUCCAAGGGAUCAUUAUUGUUUCUCAGUGUACAUUUUUUCAACACUUCCCUUGGAUAAUAGCCACUUGUUCAUGUAAUUGGGUCAUUAACCAACAGUAGUCCUCUCACAAAUAAUAAUGAAUAGCAAUGGCAAUGAAUGUACUGUUAACGGUAGUUGAAAACUUCAGAUAGAAAUUGAGUGUUGAUCAGUAGUUGACUGGGCUUGUAGUUCACAAAUCAUCUCCAAAUACUCCACUGAGGGAUAAUUUUAUGUAGCCAAGGGACUAAUAUUAAAACCUGAAUCAACUACUCGUAGCUACAGUUUACUCAAUUUUUCUCAGUUUAGAGAAAGAUUGGUCUCAAUAAGGUGAUGAGUUCUAGCCCCAUUUCUACCACUUGCAUUCUGUAUGACUUGGAAAUGUCACGCUUCCUUUUGUCUUAGAAACACAGUGUGUGUGUGCAUGACUUUCAGGAGAAACAAUCAGCAUCAGGAUCAUAUUUUGAACUUAUCUGGAGAAGUUUGAAGCAAAUUUAUUUGAGAUUUGGCAAUGUAGAGUCUUCUCUCAUGGACCCACCCACUCUCUUCCCUCCAGGGCAAUCAUGACUCACACCCAAAUUAUUUGUUCUUGGGAAUAUCUUUUUCUCUUGAUCCCUUUUAACUUCCUUUGAUCUACUUUAAUCAACUUAAUAUCCUUAACUGUUUUUUAUCUGGAGACAUUCAUUGCAUCUAUUUCUCCUGAUACAGACUUUUCCCUGUCUGCUGCUUUCAUUUCCUCACAUAUUCUGGACCAAAAUAAGAGGAUGUUGCAUGUGAGCUAAGAGGGGGAGCUAUGUUUCUCUGAGAAAUGAAUACUCUUAUCCAUGACGUUCUAAUGGGGUAUUUUUGGACUUUGAUAUUUUCUUGACUAAUCACUCACAAAUAGAUUUUCUCAUGAUUUUCUUUUUCUUUUAAGGGAAAACUGGAAUAGUCUUUUAUAUAUUAAGCUAACACUGGCCUAAUCUAUAAUAUAUCUAUAUUGAAAUGGAACUUUUUUUUAACUGAUAAAGUUAACUAGUUAACAUACUUUCGGUAUGGUUGUGCCCAAAAAAUAACGUGAUCUUAAUCGUCUAAGUACAGCAGAUGGUGAGCUUUACUCGCGAAUGAAUUUGUUCUGAUUAAAAAGAAACCAACCCUAUGUGCACGCAUCUAUCCAUUGUUUAGCAGCACAUUUUCUGCUCACAUCUGGAAAUAUUGAGAUAGUAGCUGCUCUAGAACAUUCCAGCGGCAGGGACACAGCACAGGAGGAAGACACGGGACGGAGAUACAGACUCAAUCAUGCUCUUCUAAAAUGAAAUUGAUUCAGCCACUUGAUGUUAAGAAAUUGCUUUUGUGAGUUACAAAAUUUCCUUCACUGGCCGCAGAAUGACUGACUAUGAAAGCUGUAGGUUUUUCAGGGCACACGGACUGAAGAAAGCCUUCCACUGCCUUGAGUGUGCAGAGAUUUCCUGUUUUGUUCCUUGCACCAAUCUUCUGACGAGCACUGUGAGCAACUGAGAUCUGCAGAUAUCCUUGCAGGGAGUUCUCUUUCGGGCUUACAUGGAGUUACUUAGACAUCUGGAAGGAGUAGGUGUCAAACCACAAAUAAAACUUUCCUUGACUCAUGGGGAGAAAGGUAGCGAUUUCCCCUUGACCUCAUUAACUGAAACUACCAGUGCCGCUGUUCCGGCGUCAAACUUCAUUCUUCAGAAUGCGCUUCUCCAUUUAAGGGCUUUACCUUUUGUAUUUGUUCAGUGUUUAACUCUGCAAAUUUAACCGAAGCCUUUCAGUGGCAUGUUUUCAUCUUAAACUAAUAAUAAGUAAGGGUCAUAGCUACAUAAUUUACUCUCCAUGGGACCUCACACAGGGACACUAACAGAUAAAUGCUUGAUGAUGCUGUUGAGGCUGAUUGAUACUAUUAGUUUUAUUUUCUUUCUCAUGGCAAACACAAAUGACUCCUCCAUCCAGCACUCUCUGUUCUUUUUAAUCUUUAUACUUUGACCAUAGAAGCAUGCAUUUGUCGUGUCAGGUAGGUAGUUGGAGUAAAAGUAAUUUGCCAUUGGCUCUCAAUUUAAAAUGAAUUCAUGAAAAAGGAGAGCUGCAAACUACUCAAUCUGACUGCAAAGUGGUAUUUUGUUUGUACACUUAACUCCCCAGAUAUAAGUGGAAGCAUCGUCCCUCCUGCAUUUAUUUCCCCCAUGACACUAAUUCUUUAUAGCAAAACAAAGAGUUUGUGAGUUCAUAGAGCAGGGCUUUCCUAUCUGUAGACAUCCAGUAACGUCCCUUUCCAUACUUCAUCCCAAAUUAAACAGAGUCUCCUUCCUGGUUUGCUCAUGUGCAUAUUGAAUUAGGAAACAAUCCUUCACUACCAGCCUCCCCAUCUUAAUGCAAUCCAGUCAGAGCUGAGAUAAUUAACAACACUCAUUGCUCUAACUUAGUUUUUGCAUUUUUUUCCUCCAUGCAAAUCUUCUUUCAUCUAGUUGUUCCUUAUUGGUUCAUUCCAUUAAGCAUGUGCAAAGUGGCUCCGGUAGUCAUAACACUGACCCAAGUCCCCGGGAAUAAAAAAAGAAAGAAAAACAAACAAAACUAGAAUCUCUGGGGAAGCACACAGGAGUGCAGGGGAGAAACAGAACACAUUUAUUUUAAAUACAUAGAUGCAGAAUUAAGCUAGUACAACACACCAUUAUAUAAAUAAUAUGCAUGAGUGCUAUAGGAAUGCAAAGUGAGAAAAUGUUUGCUAUGAGCCAUGUGUGAGCAAAGAGAGGUCACUUGGAGGAGAUGGCUCUUAUGCUGAAUUUCAGUGAAGAAUUAGUGAAGGAAAAAAAAAAACAGAAAAAUGUCGAAGUUUGGGAGAAUCCAAUGAGUAAAAGAACAUGGUUUGAAACAAGUAUAAUAUGAACGAUAGUAGGAAAGUUGGUCAUGCAGACAUUCGGAUAAUUAUUUCCUUCCUCUUUAUGCAGUAAGUUGCAUUUUUACAGAGCCUGAAGGCUCAACUUAAAAAAAUAUAUAUUCAGAGUCAAAUGUAUUUGCAUAUGUCUUAUUUCUUAAGAAUAGUGUUUUAUCUAAAGAUUGAUAAGAUGGUUUUUCUGACAUCUUAAAGAUUUUUUUAAUAGAAAACUUUACUGUAAGUUUGGUUUAUAAUGUGAAAUACAACUCCAUCUUCUUUGGAGUCUGAAUAUAGUCUCCCUCUCUUCAUUCACAAGUGAAUGAGAAAUGUGCUAACUUCUGCUCUUACAAAUCCCAUUUAGUGGGUGUUUCUAGUUAAACCACUUAACAACCUCAUUUAUUUUGUGGUGACCAUCAAGUACAGCAACAAUGCACACUAGUUCUUAAAUUAAGUAACCCUUAUUUGCAAAGUACAGAAGGUAUCAAGCAUGUAACCUCAUGACAUCACUCUUGUAUGAAUAGACUUGCUGCACUGCGUAAGUACACGUAUAGGACAAGUUAAAUAACUAAAUGCACUGUCGAAGCAUCGUGUUAUUGGCUAUCAAAUCAGUAAUACAGAAAGUCAGAAACCAAACUCGGAAGAAGCGAGACCUGCCUCCAAGGCAGAAAAUGGAGACAGAGAAGAACAUUUGGUCAAGAAGAGGACUGAGAAAUGCCUGUUUUUAGAGAAACAGAAGACAUGGGUCCACAAUGCACAGGAUUAGGGUCAGAAAAACAUGAGAAAGACUACCUGACUUUCUACAUUUUCAUUGACUACAUGGAAAUUAUGAUAUCACCUUUCCUUGCUUUGCAAAGGUUUUAUAAAAUUGUGGUAAUGAGCUCAUUCUGAAAAUGACCUCUCCUGAAUUCUCCACAGCACUGUGCAAAUUUUAAGUGCGUGUAGAAGAUAGAAAAAAAAAAAAGUUAUUCAAACCAGGGAGAAGAUUCAUUAAGGCUUUGAGUAUAGUUUUUCUUCUCCCUAACAGUGGAGUGUGGCAUAUUCAUAGGAAGAAACUGAGUAUAAAUUUCCUGGAGUCCUAAAAGCCAGAAUCUAAACAAAGAACUACGAAUGGAAGUGCCUUAUUUUACGAUUCUCUAUUCCUCCGCCUUCUGACUCUUGCCUUUUCAACAUUCCCAGCCCUCUGACAACUGAGAGAGAAGGGCUUCCAUGCUCAGAGACCAGGAGGGCCUUCAGGCUUCAGUGAAUGUCCCACUUUGUCCUUUUCUGACCUAUUUGAAAGUCAAGGGUUGUAUAUUCAAUUAGGACAUAACUGUUGAGCCACUAAAAUCCCACUGUACAUUCUCCACCUUCCUCUGCUUUGUAUCUUUUCAUAAUCAGCAGGGAAGAAAAGUAUGCUUCACUGCUACCAUGGGGUGCUCUCAACAAUAUUUUUUCUGAACAAAAUAAAAAUAUAUUAAUAGAUAAGCAAGAAAAUGGGGCCACCAUAAUGUUAAGUAAAGACAGUAUGAUCCCCAGUAAGAGAUUUGAGGAUAGCUCCUUGUCCCUUUCACUGUUCCAUCCUGAUAUCUCUGCCAUUUGUACCUGCUCUGUAUGGAUAUUGGCCUGGGUGUUUAAUCUGUCUCUUCAUCUUUGAAGUUUCAUCCACAAGAAGUUACUUUAUCAGUGAACUUAAAUUUCAACCUCUAAACAUGUUACAGAAUCAAAUUAAACUACAGAUAAUUUUGUUCUGAAAACUGAGUGUCAUCUGUAAUUGCAAUACUGAUAGGGGGAAAACACCCUAAUUUUAAGCCCUUUGUUAUGAAUCCAUAUCUUCUCUGUGAAAUCAGAGUGUCAGUCUUGCAUCUCGUGGAACCAAAUAAAAAAAAUGUAUCAUGCAGUUAGACAGGAUAUGACACUGACUCAAUAAGGCAUUGGGGUGUGUAAAAAAAUCACUGGUAAAGGGAAAAAGUAUGAAAGUAAUAUUGGCUGACAUUUUCUUGUUAUUAGUGUUCUUUUUAAUAUCUAGCAUUUUAUGCCACUUUAUUUUGCUUCAGAGUCUUAUGAUCAAUAACAUAUAAACAAAUCCCGGAUUAGGAACUCACAUUCUGUAUUUUAAAUGUCUGAUUUCUAAUUUGCUGAUCUACUUUCUCUGUUCUCUUCAUUUGAUUAUUUGCCUAAUUAUAUAGUUUAACCUAUAAGGCUUUUCUAAAUAAGACAUGUUAAAUACAGUUGUAUUGCUGUAAUGAAAACUUAGUUGCAAAAGGAUAGAGUUAGCUAAGUCUGUGCCAUAGUUUUGCGCAGAGUGCAGGGUCCUAUGUGUCACUUCAUUUCACAUUUGUGGUUGUUUAACAAAUAAUAAAAUUUGUUUUGCCAGUACAUUACAUUUUAGGAUUGCAAAAAUUAUCUGUUGGAAUUUUUACGUGAAAGCGAUUUUUAAUUUUUUGCUAUAUUGUGUUCAUCUUAGUUUCUUUAUUCCUAAAUACCUAACUUGGAAUCUUCAUAUUUUCUGUCCUCAAUAGUUUAACUUUUUAACACCUAAGUAUAUAGAUAAAUACAAAACUUUCAAAAGAUUUUAUCAAAAUGACUUUAUUUUGUUAUAAUAGUUGUUACAUGAAACUAUCCAUAAUUUUUCAAGAUAAAACAGUGACUUUCCUAAAUAUACAUGUAAAGUAGUCUUUACUCUUUCAGAAAUGACCCCUUUUACAGGAAUUUCUCCUUGAAAUGUAUAUAGUAAGUUUAGCAAUGUCUAAAUACUUUUAGUCCCAAAACAAGAUAUAGCCUUACAAAAUAUCUUAUGAUUUUUGUUAUGCAUAAUUUUACAAAUAUAUUUAAAAUGCUCUACAAAGCAGUGCUCUACUAUUUAUACUAUAAUCAAUAAAUG
rnacentral:lncRNA from 10 species